UACGGAGGGUGCAAACGUUGCUCGGAAUCAUUGGGCGUAAAGCGCACGUAGGCGGCCUGUUAAGUCGGAUGUGAAAGCCCCGGGCUCAACCCGGGAAGUGCAUACGAAACUGGCAGGCUUGAAUAUGGAAGAGGGUCGCGGAAUUCCCGGUGUAGAGGUGAAAUUCGUAGAUAUUCGGAAGAACACCAGUGGCGAAGGCGGCUCACUGGCCCGGUACUGACGCUGAGGUGCGAAAGCGUGGGGAGCAAACAGG
rnacentral:rRNA from 1 species